UAUAGUGUAUUGUUUUCCCAGUGAAG
rnacentral:misc_RNA from 1 species